AACGAACGCUGGCGGCGUGCCUAACACAUGCAAGUCGAACGAGAAGUACGUAGCAAUACGUAUUGUAAAGUGGCGCACGGGUGAGUAACACGUGGGUAAUCUGCCCUUGAGUUUGGGAUAACCCCGCGAAAGCGGGGCUAAUACCGAAUAAGACCACGGGGACCAAAGUCCCUGAGGUAAAAGGUGGCCUCUAUUUAUAAGCUACCACUUGAGGAUGAGCCCGCGGCCCAUUAGCUAGUUGGCGGGGUAACGGCCCACCAAGGCAAUGAUGGGUAGCUGGUCUGAGAGGACGAUCAGCCACACUGGAACUGAGACACGGUCCAGACUCCUACGGGAGGCAGCAGUGGGGAAUAUUGCGCAAUGGGCGAAAGCCUGACGCAGCAACGCCGCGUGGGGGAUGAAGGUUCUCGGAUUGUAAACCCCUUUCGACCGGAACGAAUCUCCUCCUGGUAAAUAAUCAGGAGGAUCGACGGUACCGGGAGAAGAAGCCACGGCUAACUCUGUGCCAGCAGCCGCGGUAAUAC
rnacentral:rRNA from 1 species